rnacentral:rRNA from 1 species
AUUGAACGCUGGCGGCAGGCCUAACACAUGCAAGUCGAACGAGUGGCGGACGGGUGAGUAUUGUCUGGGAAACUGCCUGAUGGAGGGGGAUAUCUACUGGAAACGGUAGCUAUAACACCAUACCAUCAGAUGUGCCCAGAUGGGAGUAGCGAGUAGGUGGGGUAACGGCUCACCUAGGCGACGAUCCCUCGCUGGUCUGAGAGGAUGACCAGCCACACUGGAACUGAGACACGGUCCAGACUCCUACGGGAGGCAGCAGUGGGGAAUAUUGCACAAUGGGCGCAAGCCUGAUGCAGCCAUGCCGCGUGUAUGAAGAAGGCCUUCGGGUUGUAAAGUACUUUCAGCGGGGAGGCGUUACCCGCAGAAGAAGCACCGGCUAACUCCGUGCCAGCAGCCGCGGUAAUUC